UCCGGCGUAGCUCAGUCGGUAGAGCAAGCGGCUGUUAACCGCUGGGUCGUAGGUUCGAGUCCUACCGCCGGAGCCA
rnacentral:tRNA from 2 species